GCUUGAGAAAUGGUUACCCCACCCCUCAGAACAUAUCCCCAAGUUGCCCACUCACUGAGAUGUCUGCAUCUCGUUCUUAGGUUAUCUGGAGCCCUGCUGAAUUUACAAAGGGCUGUGCGGGACCAUUUUGGUGUAAAAUGCACCACUUUCCCUCCCACACCAACAUCCGUUCCUUUGCCUUCCUUGGCCACCCUUAUCUUUCUGCAGUUGUGCUAGAUUCAAAAGUCACUAACCCUGUCUAUGGCAAAGAAAUAGCCCACUUCUGCUUCUGCCACCAUAAUAACAGAAAGGAGGCGACAGGAAGAGCGAUGUGUCACCUACACAGGCUGGCACCUACCUCCCCUUAGAGCCGCCACUCAGUUCUUAGAGGGGUGCUGGUUGCAUGAGGGCCCUCAGCACUCACCCUGCCUAGUUUCUUGCUAGAAAGCAGUACAAACCACAGGGAGGAAUCACUGCUCAAUAGGAUUCUUUCCCAAAAUGUACAAUCUCAAGUUUAAUUCCAAGAAAACAUCUCACAGACCCAAAUAAAGAAACUUGUGAAAUAUUUGACCAAAAUAUUUACAAGUAUUUGAUUUUUCAAAUAUAUCAAGGUCAUGAAAGACAAGGAAAAAACUGAGAAAAAGUCACAGAUUUAGGAAAACUUAAGAGACAGACGACAAAAUGCAACGUGGAAUCCUGGGUUGGAUCUGAGAACAGAUAAAGAGAAACGUGGGUGGAACCUGAUUCAAAGUCUGUAGUAUCGUGUUAAUAGUAUCAUGCUAAUAUUAGCCUCUUGGUUUUGAUCUUUGUGCUCUUUAUGUAAGAUAUUAAAUUAGGUAAGGUUGGGUGAAGACUAGGCAGAAACUUUCUGAUUUGUUUUUGCAAUUUAUUGUGUAAUUCUAACUUGACUCCAUAA
rnacentral:lncRNA from 1 species